rnacentral:rRNA from 1 species
UACAGAGGUCUCAAGCGUUGUUCGGAUUCAUUGGGCGUAAAGGGUGCGUAGGUGGCAUGGUAAGUCGGAUGUGAAAUCCCGGGGCUCAACCCCGGAACUGCAUUCGAUACUGCUGCGCUAGAGUACUGGAGAGGAGAUUGGAAUUUACGGUGUAGCAGUGAAAUGCGUAGAUAUCGUAAGGAAGACCAGUGGCGAAGGCGAAUCUCUGGACAGUUACUGACACUGAGGCACGAAGGCCAGGGGAGCAAACGGG